rnacentral:tRNA from 1 species
AGGGGUAUAGUUCAGUUGGUAGAACAUCGGACUCCAAAUCCGAGUGUCGCGGGUUCGAGUCCUGUUACCCUUGCCA